CCUCAGAGGGUUGGGAGCUACUGCACUACAGUAAAGGUCGUAAGCUUCCUGUCUUUCCUCGCACACCCUGUUGCAGUUGGACGCCUGACCAGCCCAGGCUCUAUUUUGAAGAAGACAUUUGUGAAUGCCAACGGCUGUUUGGUAUUUCAACAAGGCCUGAGUCUAUAUAAAGACACGUAUGCCUUUCUCUGCAAAAUUCCAAGGAUGCUUUGAGGAACGAGCAGAAUUAGAGCGAAUAAAUGACAUCCAGGAUUAGUAGUCUCUGAUGUGUUCAAGGUCCGUGUGAGCAUGAAGGUUCUGCUACAGGAUCAUUUCGGAGGAGAAUGACAGGCAUGCAGCAUGUGUUCCAAACCGUCCCAGAGGAGGAGGAGAGCAGGGAAUGUCAGAAAGUCACUGUGGCCAGCCACUAAUGUAGUCCACACCCGCUCACAUACACAAACACACCCUCCCCCAGGAGAACACUGUAUGCAGACUGGUGUGCUUGCACCUACAUCUACAAGUGACUUGUGCUUUAAGAAACAGAAGAUGGACUGACCUUGAGCUGCUGUUGGAGUUCGCUAUUGAGACGAGUCAACACCGCGUUGGUUUCCUUGUUUUUCCGAAUGGCCAUCUGGAUCUCUCUCUUCUGUCUGGAUGGCAGCCUGACAGACAAUUUUAUGCACUUUUAUCAAAUUUUAAAUUUAGUUUCUAGACAGAUAAAAUAGUAUAUCAUAAUUGACCUUGUUCAGAAUGCAGCUUAAGCAAAUAUAAGAAUUGAUGUAGACCUGAUUCCUGAGCUCCAUUACUUUUAGUGAUAUAUGGGUCUAAACGUGGUGUUUUAAGAUGGGACUGAAGGCGUUCGGUUAAAGUGGACAAACUCCACAACAGUCAGUUGCUGCACUCAAAUACAGUGGAUACUGAAAUGAUCAGAUAAAGUACAGGGGGAGUUCACAUCAUUCAUUUAGCCAUUGCUGGCAGUCAUCACUGUUAUUGAUGCUCACUUUCUACUGCACUGACAGUUUCAAUGAGCUGGCGAGUCAGUAGGGAGACAGGACCACACAUGGUAGAGUCAUUAUGCUGGGUUAGGGUGUGCCUUAAUGUCUGUUAAAUUUCCCUAUCUGGAUGGCUUUCAGGUGUUAUGGUGGCUGACAAGGAAAAAUGCUGAGCAACUUAUAAGAAAAUGCGUGCAAACACACAAAACAGAGUAAAACAGCCCAGACGGGCCUGUUGUUGCUACAGUUUGUGACUCAUGAAGUUCAUAAAGUGGCAUAUGUAUCAUUGGUUCUGUUUAUGUUGUGGACUGACAUGCAUGUGUGGAAAGUGACUGCUACAGGCACCCACCUGACUUGAACAACUUCAUAAGUCACAAACAACAAGCGUGUCCAAGCCGUGUCCAGCACUAGUAUCCUCUGGAAACACUUCUGUUGUCUUUUUCUGGCAGUGCCUGUAGGUAAUGUGUUGUUUUGUGUGUAUUUGUGGCAAAUCAAAGGCUACAGGAGUUGAGACGAGAUGAAUGAUAAUUCUUUGCCAACAGUGACCCUUUCACGUCGCGUGAAGUCAUUUGAUCCGUUCUUGAUAUUAAAAUACUGACGAGGGUCACUUCAACACAAGUCAUCUUACAAAUGAAUGUCACUUUCUCUGCUGACUCACAGAAAAUGUAGCCGUUGGUAUCAGCUUUAGCUAAUUCCACACAAUAACAUUACCAUGCAAUCAGAUUUAGCUGAAAUGUAACUCGUCUGUAUCACUACUGCAUUGUCCAAUGUUUCACUGACUUUUGAGCAGGCUUGGUGGGGAGGGGAAAAGUCAUGGCAGGUGGAGGUACAGCCUCCAGGUUCUGGCUGUCUGGAUGGUACUUCCUGCGGAUCGGCUUCUGCGGUGCCUGACUGUGACAAACUCCAAUCAUGUCCUGAAGGAAACGAGAAAUAAAAUUUUAAUUAAAUAAGUUGAAAAAAUUAGCUUCAUCACCCCCCUCACCAGAGGUAGAGACACUCCUCUUAAAAGGAAAACUAGGACGUUAGCAGUAUGGACCUGUUUUGUCAAGUCUUCAGUGCUUGGACCAAACCUGGAAUGUGGACCCUGUGCCUCAGGUUUCACACUGCUCUCCUCCUGCAACACAAAUAAAAGCAAAAUGAGUAAAAUGAAAUUACACAAAAAAUUUGCUCAGACACUGGCCAUAUAAGCUAGACGACAAACAAUCUCUUUCUAUUGAGGGCUAGCAUACAGUAAGAGUGUUGAUGUCAUGAUGAGGUUAAAUAAUUUGAAGGAGCUGCUAAAGAGGCAGGAUGAAAUGUUCCUGCCCUGCCCUGACAGGGGAUAAAUCAGUACCUUCUCUGCAGGGGCCACGAUCUACUGCUCUCCAGGCACGACUUCCUGCCCGCGCAGGGGCAGCCAUGAUGGAUUAACUUGUUUUUAUUGCAUCUUCUUGCUGCAUGUCAGCCAUCACCCUCUUCUAGACAUAAUGUAUGAAGUAUCACCACCUGCUUUCAUUCAGCAGAGAGGUUAAUAGUGCAAGAGUGUGAAGACAAGUCCUGCACAUUAAAGUGAAUUUCUUAAGUU